rnacentral:rRNA from 1 species
GACGAACGCUGGCGGCGUGCUUAACACAUGCAAGUCGAACGGAAAGGCCCUGCUUUUGUGGGGUGCUCGAGGGGCGAACGGGUGAGUAACACGUGAGUAACCUGCCCUGGACGUGGGGAUAACUGCAGGAAACUGGGGCUAAUACCGGAUAGGAGCGCCUGCUGCAUGGGGGGGGUUGGAAAGCUUGGGCGGUGGGGGAUGGACUCGCGGCUUAUCAGCUUGUUGGUGGGGUAGUUGCUUACCAAGGCUUUGACGGGUAGCCGGCCUGAGAGGGUGACCGGCCACAUUGGGACUGAGAUACGGCCCAGACUCCUACGGGAGGCAGCAGUGGGGAAUAUUGCACAAUGGGCGGACGCCUGAUGCAGCAGCGCCGCGUGCGGGAUGACGGCCUUCGGGUUGUAAACCGCUUUCGCCUGUGACGAAGCGGGAGUGACGGUAAUGGGUAAAGAAGCACCGGCUAACUACGUG